rnacentral:rRNA from 1 species
UACGUAGGGGGCUAGCGUUGUCCGGAAUCAUUGGGCGUAAAGCGCGUGUAGGCGGCCCGAUAAGUCCGCUGUGAAAGUCCAGGGCUCAACCCUGGGAUGCCGGUGGAUACUGUCGGGCUCGAGUCCGGAAGAGGCGAGUGGAAUUCCUGGUGUAGCGGUGAAAUGCGCAGAUAUCAGGAGGAACACCAAUGGCGAAGGCAGCUCGCUGGGACGUGACUGACGCUGAGACGCGGAAGCGUGGGGAGCAAACAGG